rnacentral:misc_RNA from 1 species
GAAGUGAAGUAUCAAUAGUAAAUAAUUUCAUUAAUCAUUGAUGAAUUCCUCCUUUUACUAUACUAUGUAUGCAGUACGCUAUCGUUUCUUCCAUUUAUUUCAUAUACGUGUGCUCUCAUCGUACGAUUCCAUCGCAUACCAGCAAACAUGCAUCAUGCGUCAUGAGAAGUAAAGAAAUGUGUCUCGACUGAAGUGCAACCGUAAGGAAAAAGAAAUAGCAAGUUUUCAUUCAUUGAAUACGAUGAUUCAAUGUUAUAAACGGAGCGACGUGAUUCGAAUGGCACACGAACAGGUGAAAAGUAUAUAUAUACAGCUGGUCGACAACGAGUGGGAUGGAGUAAUGAAAGAGCAGCUAAAAAGGGAAAGAGAGACUGGAAUCUCGAGGUAGCUUGUUGUUCAAGAGCGCGGAGUACGACUCUUGUUCGAUGAUUUAAGAAUCAACUUGGCCCCUCCUCGACCCCGAUCUCCAUGGAAUCUCCGGUUUCUGACCUUACCUCCAACUUCAGAAAAGAAGAGGAAAUUCAAUCCAUUAUUCCACAUUAGGGUGGUCUUUAUUCUCCAAUCACCGAUAUUUCCUGGUCUCACUUUCAUAAAUUGUGAUAGCUGGUGAGAAAAGGAUUUAAAGUGAUUGGUCAAUUGGUUUUGAGCAUAAUCGUGUUCUGCUAUUUUCGAAAUAUGAAGAAACAAGAGCACAAUGUUUCAGAUUAAUACUAUAAUAGUAAUAUCUAUGUAUUACU